rnacentral:tRNA from 1 species
CGAGAUGAGCUUAAUCGGCUAAAAUAGAGCGGUCGCCGCGGCGACAGGUCGGAGGUUCAAAUCCUCUCGCCCCGACCA